rnacentral:rRNA from 1 species
GAUGAACGCUGGCGGCGUGCCUAAUACAUGCAAGUCGAGCGAACAGACGAGGAGCUUGCUCCUCUGACGUUAGCGGCGGACGGGUGAGUAACACGUGGAUAACCUACCUAUAAGACUGGUAUAACUUCGGGACACCGGCUCUAAUACCGGAUAAUAUAUUGAACCGCAUGGUUCAAUAGUGAAAGACGGUUUUGCUGUCACUUAUAGAUGGAUCCGCGCCGCAUUAGCUAGUUGGUAAGGUAACGGCUUACCAAGGCAACGAUGCGUAGCCGACCUGAGAGGGUGAUCGGCCACACGGGAACUGAGGCACGGUCCAGACUCCUACGGGAGGCAGCAGUGGGGAAUCUUCCGCAAUGGGCGAAAGCCUGACGGAGCAACGCCGCGUGAGUGAUGAAGGUCUUCGGAUCGUAAAACUCUGUUAUUAGGGAAGAACAAGUGUGUAAGUAACUAUGCACGUCUUGACGGUACCUAAUCAGAAAGCCACGGCUAACUACGUG